AGAGUUUGACUCUGGCUCAGGAUGAACGCUAGCGAUAGGCUUAACACAUGCAAGUCGAGGGGCAGCGAGAUGUAGCAAUACGUCGUCGGCGACCGGCGAAUGGGUGAGUAACACGUAUGCAACUUACCUCUUAGUGGUGAAUAACCCGAUGAAAGUCGGACUAAUACACCAUACUCUCCUUAGAUCACAUGAGAAGAGGAGGAAAGAUUAAUCGCUAAGAGAUAGGCCUGCGUUCCAUUAGCUAGUUGGUAAGGUAACGGCUUACCAAGGCAACGAUGGAUAGGGGGACUGAGAGGUUGACCCCCCACAUUGACACUGAGAUACGGGUCAAACUCCUACGGGAGGCAGCAGUGAGGAAUAUUGGUCAAUGGGCGAGAGCCUGAACCAGCCAAGUAGCGUGAAGGAUGAAGGUCCUACGGAUUGUAAACUUCUUUUAUACGGGAAUAAAGUAUCCUACGUGUAGGAUUUUGUAUGUACCGUAUGAAUAAGCAUCGGCUAACUCCGUGCCAGCAGCCGCGGUAAUACGGAGGAUGCGAGCGUUAUCCGGAAUUAUUGGGUUUAAAGGGUGCGUAGGUUGCAAGGGAAGUCAGGGGUGAAAAGCUGUAGCUCAACUAUGGUCUUGCCUUUGAAACUCUCUAGCUAGAGUGUACUGGAGGUACGUGGAACGUGUGGUGUAGCGGUGAAAUGCAUAGAUAUCACACAGAACUCCGAUUGCGCAGGCAGCGUACUACAUUACAACUGACACUGAAGCACGAAAGCGUGGGUAUCAAACAGGAUUAGAUACCCUGGUAGUCCACGCAGUAAACGAUGAAUACUAGAUCUAUGCGAUAUACAGUAUGGGUCUAAGCGAAAGCGAUAAGUAUUCCACCUGGGGAGUACGCCGGCAACGGUGAAACUCAAAGAGAUUGGCGGGGGUCCGCACAAGCGGAGGAACAUGUGGUUUAAUUCGAUGAUACGCGAGGAACCUUACCCGGGAUUGAAAUGUAGAUGCAUGAGGCUGAGAGGUCUCUUCCCUUCGGGGCUUCUAUGUAGGUGCUGCAUGGUUGUCGUCAGCUCGUGCCGUGAGGUGUCGGCUUAAGU
rnacentral:rRNA from 1 species